UCUCCCUGCCUUGUGCCUGGAGUUCAGCCUGCCCCAGGAGCCGAGAAGCUAGAUACUGGUGUGGUCAUGAUGUGACCCACAUCCCACACCCAUGGCAGGCUCGCAGGUGUUCCUGAAGUUACUGCCUCUUUCAUGGGUCACAGGUGUUCCUCUGGCAGCUUCAGCUAAAGCAGGUCUGGCUCAGGAAGCAUGGGCAUCUCUGAACUAAUCUCCUGGUGUUACACACGUGCGGGCUGAGCUUCAGAAGUUAGGAGCGAUGAGUCAAGGGAAAAACACCACCAAAUGGCAGGUGACACCAGUGUAUCAGGAGGACUCAGUGGCUUCCAUGGAGGAUUUGGCAGCAGUCUUAGGGGCCUAAGACAAGGAAUGGAUCCCCAUCACCAAACUGGACUGCCUAUAGACAUAAAGAUCAAGUCCCUGGAGGAGAUCUACCUGUUCCCCCUGCCCAUUAAGGAAGCCAAGAUUAUUGAUUUCUUUUCCUGGGUGCACCCCUAAAGGAUGAGGUUCUAAAUAUCAUGCCAGUGCAGAAGCAGACUCGGGCUGGCCAGCAGACCAGGUUCAAGGAUUUUGUUGCUAUUGGGGACUACAACAGUCACAGCAGUUGAAAAGUAGACACACUCAAAUUGGGAAGGGAGGUUUUACCAUUUUCCCGAGCCUGGCCUGGGGAAGGUUUUGCCAUUUUCCUAUGGGUCUGAGGCUUUGAUCCUUGACGUGGCCAGCUCAUAUCAACAACAUAUAUCCACUCAGGACUUGACUUGCUCUUCUACAGUCACAUGCAUCAGUGUGGCUGGACCUUGAGGGCACUGGUGUAAUGAGCACACACAGACAGAUCACACCGUUACAUGAUUCCAGAGGGAAAACGGGGCUUAGAUUUCAACAGGGACAGAGAUUCUCUUUUAAGAGAGGAAAGGAUUCUAGGGACAGGGGAAUAGCUUAGUCAGUGAAGGGCCUACUGUGCAAGCAUGAAGACCUGGGUUUGAACUCUCAACACCCGAUCUGUAAGUUCAGUGCUGGGACCAUGGAAACAGGAGGGUCCCUGGGGCUCAAUGUCCAGUUAUAUGGUCAAAAUAGCAAGACACACUGCUUUGAAGAUAAGGUGCAGCAAUUGAGGAAGACACUCAUUGUCACCUCUGGGCUCCACACUGGUACAUGUGUGCGCACGCACGCACACACACACACACACACACACACACACACACACACACACACACAACUAGUUCAUGAUCUGGGUGGACCUGUUGCUUUUCAUCUUUCGGGAGCAGGCAGCCCACCACAGCAGAGCGGGUGCUGGGCAAAACCUUUCACCACAACCAAAAAAACGAAAGA